rnacentral:rRNA from 1 species
GCAAGCUACCAAGGGCACACGGUGGAUGCCUAGGCGCGUGUAGGCGAGGAAGGACGUGGUAAGCUGCGAUAAGCGACGGGGAGGAGCACACAUCCCGUGAUCCGUCGAUGUCCGAAUGGGGGAACCCCGCACCGAGAACCGGUGUGAUUCCGUGGAUGAACACAUAGUCCGCGGGAGGCCAACCUGGGGAAGUGAACCAUCUCAGUACCCAGAGGAAGAGAAAGCAAGAGCGAUUCCCUGAGUAGCGGCGAGCGAAACGGGACGAGCCUAAACCUGACGGAUGCCAAGCCUGCCGGCGUUGUCCGUUGGGGGUCGUGGGACCGUACUGGAGGGAACGGCAGUUCCUUCGGCAAGGGCACAAAACGAACGGCUAGCGGAACGACCCUGUGAAAGGGCGGCCAGAGAGCGUGACAGCCGCGUAUGCGAAAGCCGGGACACCUUGCUGGGUACGGCACCCGAGUAACACGGGGUACGAGGAGCCUUGUGUGAAUUUGGGAGGACCAUCUCCUAAGGCUAAAUACUCACACGCGACCGAUAGUGAACCAGUACCGUGAGGGAAAGGUGAAAAGAACCCCUGUUCGGGGAGUCAAAAGAACCUGAAACCGUGUGCUUACAAGCAGUGGGAGGGUUACGACGGGAGCAAUCCCGGCCUGACCGCGUGCCUUUUGCAUAAUGAGCCGGCUAGUGAAUCUCUGUAGCAAGGUUAAGGGGUCAAGCCCCGGAGCCGUAGCGAAAGCGAGUCUGAAGAGGGCGGUUGAGUUGCAGGGAUUCGACGCGAAACGAGAUGAUCUAUCCGUGGCCAGGCUGAAGGCUGGGUAACACCAGUUGGAGGGCCGAACCAGUGUUGGUUGAAAACAACUUGGAUGAGCUGCGGAUAGGGGUGAAAGGCUAAUCAAAUCUCGUGAUAGCCCGUUCUCUCCGAAAUAGCUUUAGGGCUAGCCUCGGAUGAUUACUUACGGUGGUAAAGCACUGACAGGGCUAGGGCCCUUCACCGGGUACCAAACCCUAUCAAACUCUGAAUGCCGUAACGUCAAGUCCGGGAGUCAGACUACGGGGGCUAAGCUCCGGGGUCAAAAGGGAAACAGCCCAGACCGACAGCUAAGGUCCCAAAGUCGUGGUUAAGUGGAAAAGGACGUGAGGAAGCACAGACAGCCAGGAGGUUGGCUUAGAAGCAGCCACCCUUUAAAGAAAGCGUAAUAGCUCACUGGUCAAGCCGCCUUGCACCGACAAUACAACGGGGCUCAAACCACGCACCGAAGCUUCGGAUCCGCGGCCUUCGGGCCGUGCGAUGGUAGGAGAGCGUUCCAUUCAGCUGUGAAGCCGCACCGAGAGGGCGUGUGGAGCGGAUGGAAUCGACCCUGUCGGCAUAAGUAGCGAGAACGCGGGUGAGAACCCCGCGGGCCGAAAGCCUCAGGUUUCCUGCGUCAAGUCAAUCUGCGCAGGGUAAGUCGGUCCCUAAGUCGAGGCCGAGCGGCGUAGACGAUGGGAAUCCGGUUAAGAUUCCGGAACCACCAGCGCGUGCCAUGGGGGGACGCACCAGGGUAGGCAGGACCGGUGAUGGCAUACCGGUUGAACACGUAUAGGCUGACGGGCAGGCAAAUCCACCCGUCGCCAGGCCAAAGCGUGGGACGAAGGCCCAACGGGCCGCAAAGCUGUUGACCCCAGGUGCCAAGAAAAGCCUCGUUUGGCUUCAACGCGUCGUGUGACCGUACCGCAAACCGACACAGGUAGGUGGGGUGAGAAUCCUAAGGCCCAUGUGAGAACACUCGUUCAGGAACUCGGCAAAUUGACCCCGUAACUUCGGGAGAAGGGGUGCCGCGCUAGGGUGAAUAGCCCGAGGCGGUCGCAGAGAAAUGUCCCAGGCGACUGUUUACUAAAAACACAGGUCUCCGCAAAGUCGCAAGACGACGUAUGGGGGCUGACGCCUGCCCAAUGCUGGAAGGUUAAGGGGAGGGGUUAGGCGCAAGCCGAAGCUCUGAAUCGAAGCCCCAGUGAAUGGCGGCCGUAACUAUAACGGUCCUAAGGUAGCGAAAUUCCUUGUCGGGUAAGUUCCGACCUGCACGAAUGGCGUAACGAUCUGGGAACUGUCUUAACGAGUGGCACAGCGAACUUGUAAUACCGGUGAAGAUGCCGGUUACCCGCAUCUAGACGGAAAGACCCCGUGCACCUUUACUACAACUUGGUAGUGACGCUGGGCAUGUCAUGCGCAGGAUAGGUGGGAGACUGCGAAGCUGGGCUUCCGGGCUCGGUCGAGUCAACGGUGAGAUACCACCCUUGGCAUGUUCGGCGUCUAACCUACACCCGUGAUCCGGGUGGGGGACACUACCAGGCGGGUAGUUUGACUGGGGCGGUCGCCUCCCAAAAUGUAACGGAGGCUCUCGACGGUUGGCUCAAGGUGUUUGGAAAUCACCUGUAGAGUGCAAAGGCAUAAGCCAGCCUGACUGCGAGACAUACAGGUCGAGCAGAGACGAAAGUCGGACUUAGUGAUCCGGCGGUUCCGUAUGGAAGGGCCGUCGCUCAAAGGAUAAAAGGUACGCCGGGGAUAACAGGCUGAUCCUGGCCAAGAGCUCAUAUCGACGCCAGGGUUUGGCACCUCGAUGUCGGCUCAUCGCAUCCUGGGGCUGAAGAAGGUCCCAAGGGUUCGGCUGUUCGCCGAUUAAAGCGGUACGUGAGCUGGGUUUAGAACGUCGCGAGACAGUUCGGUCCCUAUCUGGUGUGGGCGCAGGAGCAUUGACGGAAUCUGACCCUAGUACGAGAGGACCGGGUUGGACUACCCUCUAGUGUACCAGUUGUCGCGCCAGCGGCACGGCUGGGUAGCUAUGGUGGGCAGGGAUAACCGCUGAAUGCAUCUAAGCGGGAAGCCCGACCGAAGAUGAGUGCUCCCCGUGAGACUCCUGAAAGACCAUCAGGUUGAUAGGCUGGAAAUGCAAGGGUGUAUAUCUAAAGACCCUGAGUUGACCAGUACUAAUAGUCCCGCGGCUUGCCAAA